rnacentral:rRNA from 1 species
UACGGAGGGGGCUAGCGUUGUUCGGAAUUACUGGGCGUAAAGCGCACGUAGGCGGCUUUGUAAGUUAGAGGUGAAAGCCCGGGGCUCAACUCCGGAAUUGCCUUUAAGACUGCAUCGCUAGAAUUGUGGAGAGGUAAGUGGAAUUCCGAGUGUAGAGGUGAAAUUCGUAGAUAUUCGCAAGAACACCAGUGGCGAAGGGCGGCUCGACUGGCCCGAUACUGACGCUGAGGCACGAAAGGCGUGGGGAGCAAACAGG